GGCCAUCAAGAGACUUCAGAGCCUUGGGGCAACUGGUGAGGGAAUUGAGGGGCACAGGUUAUUUUUUUCUCCAUUAUUCCAUGUGCAGUUAGGUGGUGCCAGAGCCAGCAAGAGAUGCCCAGAGUCUGGAGAGCGAUUGCAGGUCAGCAGGAGAACACCUGGAGGGCAGCACAAAGGGAUUCUAGCCACUCCAGAGAGAAGAUCCAAAGAUCCUGGGCAGUUCUACACCAAAUUCAAGUACUAUGACUUUUUUUCCUCUUUUUUUUUUGUUGGGUUUUUUUGUGUUUUUUUUGUUUGUUUGGUUGGGUUUUUUUUGGUUGGUUGGUUUUGUUUGAUUGGUUUUUGGGGUUUUUUUGUGGGUUUUUUGUUGUUGCUUUGUAGGAGGGUUUUGUUUGUCUUUUUCAUUGCUUACAAUUUGUAGGUCUAUUGUAUUUCGUACAUCUCUAGAAAUGAGCUAUGUUGUAUAUAUUGUGUUUAUGCCUUAGACAAAUUAAAGCAAAAGAUGGUAGAUUACUGAAGUGGUAUAAAUUUUCCAGCAUUUUGCUAGUCAAGAAAAAAAAAAAACAUGCCAAAAUCACAAUAAGCAGUAUUGGUACCCACAGCUUCAAUUAAUUUGUUUCCUUUUUAAUGUGUAAUCUACAUAAAUUACUACUGAAGGAUACUGUUUAAGUAGUAAAUAAAUUGGCCAUUUGUAGGUCAGACAAAACUUGUUCAUCCAACUGUGAAAGCUGAUACUGUUUCCAAAAAAAUCACAAUAAUGCUGAACAGAAGAA